UGGCUAGGAGCAUGCUAUGCGGUGAAGUUCAUUUUUAAGAGUGUACUUGUGUACGUGUCCGUGAAACGAGAAAGGUGGAGCUCUAUAAUCCGAUAUCAAAUUUAGACGUUCAAAUUUAGGCCAGGUUGCUGUCACGCAUGGAGGCGUCUACAUCACGUGGCGUGUGAAAAAAUGCCGUUUUUGAGCGCUCAUAUCUAAAGAACUUAAAAUUCUUCAAACUUCGUAAGGACAUGUUUUCGUAUACGAUAUUUCAAUGCACAGAAAAUCGGACUUUGUUUCCUAGCACAAUAAAAGUUAGAGCGUGCAUCCGACUGUGCUGCGUGUAAUUACCGCCUGGAGGCGCUGCAAUAAGUUCACUGGUCGAUAUUCACGUUUCUCGUGACACAGCGGAACGACGUGGUACUUGUUGUCUACUCGAGGAGAUGUCUCUCAGUUAGCAUUGAAGUAUAUAGACAACGGUUUCUGUGUCCCUUCGGCGAGUACUUUGCUAUGCCAUGAGCAGCCGCUGCUGGUAAUGAACAGCGAGGAACGCUACCCCCCAGUGGAGCUGUAUCGGACUUCAGUAGGGAUUUCGUGUGUAACAGCUGCGUGUUGACACUGUUUCGACUCGCCGCUGCUUUACAGUCUAUAUCUUCGCCAUGAACAUGAAAGUAGGUGAAGACCGUAUCCACUGCGCGAUAUAUAUGAACAGGCACAGACAGAAGGCACUUGUUAUGUGUAUGUCUUCGUGGGAUGAUGCGUUCUGACGCCCAAACAGUAUUGUAGCGUGGGCGAGUCCGAUUUCCUUUGCCACAACUUCUAAUGCAAUCAGUCAUAUGUCAAUAAAUAGUGUGUGGUGGUGGUAGAAAAG